AUGAUUUUGGAGGCUGAGAAGUCCUACAAUCUGCCCUCUGCAAACUGCCCACUCCGGAAAGUGUGUGGUGUAAUUCAGUCUGAGUUUGAAGGCUUGAGAACUAGGGGAGCCACCGAUUUUGGAUUAACUGGAUUAAUUAAUCACCAUCAAAUGUGGCGAUUCAGCGGGGUAGAUUGAGAGAGUGACUUGGAAUCACUUUUCACCUUGUCAUGUUUUGGCCAGUACAGAUGAUGGCUUUGUAUAUAAUUUGGGCACAUGUUCAGAUAAGCCAAUUUUUACACUUAAUGCCCACAAUGAUGAAAUCUCUGGUCUUGAUCUAAGCAGUCAAAUCAAGGGCUGUCUUGUGACUGCUUCAGCAGACAAAUAUGUGAAGAUGUGGGACAUCUCAGGAGAUAGGCCAAGUCUAGUUCAUUCUAGGGGCAUGAAAAUGGGAGUUCUCCUCUGUUCUUCAUGUUGCCCUGAUUUGCCAUUUAUUUAUGCCUUUGGAGGUCAGAAAGAAGGGCUUCGAGUCUGGGAUAUAAGCACAGUCUCGUCAGUAAAUGAAGCAUUUGGAAGACGAGAGAGGCUUGUUCUUGCCAAUGCAAGAAAUUCGUCUGUUAGUAGCCCUUUUGGGAGCAGGAGCUCAGAUACACCAAUGGAGUCCUCAUGAAGAUCAUAUAGUUUCCUGUUUUGUUAACCUUAACUGAGAGUUUUAAAAAGCUGGC